rnacentral:rRNA from 1 species
UAGCAUAUCAAUAAGCGGAGGAAAAGAAACCAACAGGGAUUACCUCAGUAACGGCGAGUGAAGCGGUAACAGCUCAAAUUUGAAAUCUGGCUCUUUUAGGGUCCGAGUUGUAAUUUGUAGAAGAUGCUUUGGGCGUGGCUCCGGUCUAAGUUCCUUGGAACAGGACGUCAUAGAGGGUGAGAAUCCCGUAUGUGACUGGUAGCUUUCGCCCGUGUAAAGCUCUUUCGACGAGUCGAGUUGUUUGGGAAUGCAGCUCAAAAUGGGUGGUAAAUUUCAUCUAAAGCUAAAUAUUGGCCAGAGACCGAUAGCGCACAAGUAGAGUGAUCGAAAGAUGAAAAGCACUUUGGAAAGAGAGUUAAACAGUACGUGAAAUUGUUGAAAGGGAAGCGCUUGCAACCAGACUCGCAGGCCGUCGAUCAUCCGGGGUUCUCCCCGGUGCACUCGGCGGUCUUCGGGCCAGCAUCGGUUUGGGUGGUGGGAUAAAGGCCUUGGGAAUGUAGCUUCUUUCGGGGAGUGUUAUAGCCCUCGGUGCAAUGCCGCCUACCCGGACCGAGGACCGCGCUUCGGCUAGGAUGCUGGCGUAAUGGUUGUAAGCGACCCGUCUUGAAACACGGACCAAGGAGUCUAACAUCUAUGCGAGUAUUUGGGUGUUAAACCCAUAUGCGUAAUGAAAGUGAACGGAGGUGAGAACCCUUAAGGGUGCAUCAUCGACCGAUCCUGAUGUCUUCGGAUGGAUUUGAGUAAGAGCAUAGCUGUUGGGACCCGAAAGAUGGUGAACUAUGCCUAAAUAGGGUGAAGCCAGAGGAAACUCUGGUGGAGGCUCGCAGCGGUUCUGACGUGCAAAUCGAUCGUCAAAUUUGGGUAUAGGGGCGAAAGA